rnacentral:rRNA from 1 species
AUUGAACGCUGGCGGCAUGCCUUACACAUGCAAGUCGAACGGCAGCACGGGUGCUUGCACCUGGUGGCGAGUGGCGAACGGGUGAGUAAUACAUCGGAACAUGUCCUGUAGUGGGGGAUAGCCCGGCGAAAGCCGGAUUCAUACCGCAUACGAUCUACGGAUGAAAGCGGGGGACCUUCGGGCCUCGCGCUAUAGGGUUGGCCGAUGGCUGAUUCGCUAGUUGGUGGGGGAAAGGCCUACCAAGGCGACGAUCAGGAGCUGGUCUGAGAGGACGACCAGCCACACUGGGACUGAGACACGGCCCAGACUCCUACGGGAGGCAGCAGUGGGGAAUUUUGGACAAUGGGCGAAAGCCUGAUCCAGCAAUGCCGCGUGUGUGAAGAAGGCCUUCGGGUUGUAAAGCACUUUUGUCCGGAAAGAAAUCCUUGGCCCUAAUACGGUCGGGGGAUGACGGUACCGGAAGAAUAAGCACCGGCUAACUACGUG